rnacentral:rRNA from 1 species
AGAGUUUGAUCCUGGCUCAGGAUGAACGCUAGCGACAGGCCUAACACAUGCAAGUCGAGGGGCAGCGAAGAGGUAGCAAUACCUCUGUCGGCGACCGGCGCACGGGUGAGUAACACGUAUGCAAUCCACCUGUAACAGGGGGAUAACCCGGAGAAAUCCGGACUAAUACCCCAUAAUAUGGGCGCUCCGCAUGGAGAGCCCAUUAAAGAGAGCAAUUUUGGUUACAGACGAGCAUGCGCUCCAUUAGCCAGUUGGCGGGGUAACGGCCCACCAAAGCGACGAUGGAUAGGGGUUCUGAGAGGAAGGUCCCCCACAUUGGAACUGAGACACGGUCCAAACUCCUACGGGAGGCAGCAGUGAGGAAUAUUGGUCAAUGGACGAGAGUCUGAACCAGCCAAGUCGCGUGAGGGAAGACGGCCCUACGGGUUGUAAACCUCUUUUGUCGGAGAGUAAAGUACGCUACGUGUAGCGUAUUGCAAGUAUCCGAAGAAAAAGCAUCGGCUAACUCCGUGCCAGCAGCCGCGGUAAUACGGAGGAUGCAAGCGUUAUCCGGAUUUAUUGGGUUUAAAGGGUGCGUAGGCGGCACGCCAAGUCAGCGGUGAAAUUUCCGGGCUCAACCCGGAGUGUGCCGUUGAAACUGGCGAGCUAGAGUGCACAAGAGGCAGGCGGAAUGCGUGGUGUAGCGGUGAAAUGCAUAGAUAUCACGCAGAACCCCGAUUGCGAAGGCAGCCUGCUAGGGUGCGACAGACGCUGAGGCACGAAAGCGUGGGUAUCGAACAGGAUUAGAUACCCUGGUAGUCCACGCAGUAAACGAUGAAUACUAACUGUUUGCGAUACAAUGUAAGCGGUACAGCGAAAGCGUUAAGUAUUCCACCUGGGGAGUACGCCGGCAACGGUGAAACUCAAAGGAAUUGACGGGGGCCCGCACAAGCGGAGGAACAUGUGGUUUAA